CUGGAGGUAUCAGAAGUGCGAAUGCUGACAUAAGUAACGAUAAAGCGGGUGAAAAGCCCGCUCGCCGGAAGACCAAGGGUUCCUGUCCAACGUUAAUCGGGGCAGGGUGAGUCGACCCCUAAGGCGAGGCCGAAAGGCGUAGUCGAUGGGAAACAGGUUAAUAUUCCUGUACUUGGUGUUACUGCGAAGGGGGGACGGAGAAGGCUAUGUUGGCCGGGCGACGGUUGUCCCGGUUUAAGCGUGUAGGCUGGUUUUCCAGGCAAAUCCGGAAAAUCAAGGCUGAGGCGUGAUGACGAGGCACUACGGUGCUGAAGCAACAAAUGCCCUGCUUCCAGGAAAAGCCUCUAAGCAUCAGGUAACAUCAAAUCGUACCCCAAACCGACACAGGUGGUCAGGUAGAGAAUACCAAGGCGCUUGAGAGAACUCGGGUGAAGGAACUAGGCAAAAUGGUGCCGUAACUUCGGGAGAAGGCACGCUGAUAUGUAGGUGAAGCGACUUGCUCGUGGAGCUGAAAUCAGUCGAAGAUACCAGCUGGCUGCAACUGUUUAUUAAAAACACAGCACUGUGCAAACACGAAAGUGGAC
rnacentral:rRNA from 1 species